AUUGAACGCUGGCGGCAUGCUUUACACAUGCAAGUCGAACGGCAGCACGGACUUCGGUCUGGUGGCGAGUGGCGAACGGGUGAGUAAUACAUCGGAACGUGCCCAGUUGUGGGGGAUAACUACUCGAAAGAGUAGCUAAUACCGCAUGAGAACUGAGGUUGAAAGCAGGGGAUCGUAAGACCUUGCGCAACUGGAGCGGCCGAUGGCAGAUUAGGUAGUUGGUGGGAUAAAAGCUUACCAAGCCGACGAUCUGUAGCUGGUCUGAGAGGACGACCAGCCACACUGGGACUGAGACACGGCCCAGACUCCUACGGGAGGCAGCAGUGGGGAAUGUUGGACAAUGGGCGAAAGCCUGAUCCAGCAAUGCCGCGUGCAGGAUGUAGGCCUUCGGGUUGUAAACUGCUUUUGUACGGAACGAAAAGCCCUGGGUUAAUACCCUGGGGUCAUGACGGUACCGUAAGAAUAAGCACCGGCUAACUACGUGCCAGCCGCCGCGGUAACAC
rnacentral:rRNA from 1 species